rnacentral:rRNA from 1 species
UGGUGGGUAGUUUGACUGGGGCGGUCUCCUCCUAAAGAGUAACGGAGGAGCACGAAGGUUGGCUAAUCCUGGUCGGACAUCAGGAGGUUAGUGCAAUGGCAUAAGCCAGCUUGACUGCGAGCGUGACGGCGCGAGCAGGUGCGAAAGCAGGUCAUAGUGAUCCGGUGGUUCUGAAUGGAAGGGCCAUCGCUCAACGGAUAAAAGGUACUCCGGGGAUAACAGGCUGAUACCGCCCAAGAGUUCAUAUCGACGGCGGUGUUUGGCACCUCGAUGUCGGCUCAUCACAUCCUGGGGCUGAAGUAGGUCCCAAGGGUAUGGCUGUUCGCCAUUUAAAGUGGUACGCGAGCUGGGUUUAGAACGUCGUGAGACAGUUCGGUCCCUAUCUGCCGUGGGCGCUGGAGAACUGAGGGGGGCUGCUCCUAGUACGAGAGGACCGGAGUGGACGCAUCACUGGUGUUCGGGUUGUCAUGCCAAUGGCAUUGCCCGGUAGCUAAAUGCGGAAGAGAUAAGUGCUGAAAGCAUC